rnacentral:rRNA from 1 species
GACGAACGCUGGCGGCGCGCCUAACACAUGCAAGUCGAACGAGCGAGAGAGAGCUUGCUUUCUCAAGCGAGUGGCGAACGGGUGAGUAACGCGUGAGGAACCUGCCUCAAAGAGGGGGACAACAGUUGGAAACGACUGCUAAUACCGCAUAAGCCCACGACCCGGCAUCGGGUUGAGGGAAAAGGAGCAAUCCGCUUUGAGAUGGCCUCGCGUCCGAUUAGCUAGUUGGUGAGGUAACGGCCUACCAAGGCGACGAUCAGUAGCCGGACUGAGAGGUUGAACGGCCACAUUGGGACUGAGAUACGGCCCAG